CUCGCUGAGGCUGAAGCUGAAGCCACACCCCCUUCCGGUUGCUCGCCCUGGGUUGUUGCCGGUGUUUAGAACCUUCGGCAUGUUAUCUUGAUUGGCGUCGGGUAGCUACGUUUAGUGUUACCAACGGAAGCUACAGCGGCUGGAGCGGCUCCUGACGUGCUCUCCCUUGUGUGUAUGUGUGUGCGCGCCACGCAGCUGCUCAGAGAGGCUGAGCACCUGUGGCAGGGAACGUGGUGUCGUCGGUGGUGGUAUCCCUCCCCGUGUGAUGUGUGAACCCUGGGUAUUUUUCAUUUAAUCCAUCACGUGUGUGUGUGUGUGUGAGAUUUUAUUCACCUGGUGACCUCUCCCUGGGCCCUGUUCCUCCCCUCCGGUGAUACAUCCUGCCACAUGGUUUCCCAGAGACUAUGGGUUGAGGAGGAAUUGGAAGUUUGUCGGCUUAGACCUGGUGUCAUUCCAUCAGUGUUUAACUUCUCGGCUCAUCUUGAAAGAGUACGUGCCAGAAAGACCACGACCAAGCAGCCUUGAGAUCUUAGGCAGCAUCUCCCUGAGGUCCCUCUCUAUCUCCCCACACAUCCACCAACCACUGGAACACAUCUCCAAAGUUCUGCCGGGCCAGCUCAGCUUCCCCUCAGAAGUGCCGCCACCUGACAGAUGAAGGAGCCUUUUGAGAAGCAGCUGGCAUCGCGAUUGGACUGUACUUUGGUCUGUUCCAAUCCAGCUUCAGCUCCAGAGACGGCAGGCGGGACGAGUCAACAGAGGCCGGGUGGACGAAGGCAUGCAGCUGAGUACAAUCCAGAAAACAACAGAGGAGGAGUGCAGCGGCUCAGGGCCAGAACAACCAGAGUAGCAUCUGCCUUCCAGAGGGCAACAGAUCAAAAAGCUGAGAACCGGGAUGUGAACUGUCCUUGAUGAUGUUCUGAGCUCUGCUGAGGCACCAGGUGGAGUAGAUGUCCAUGAGGGAGGGGAGAGGACAGACAACAAUUUACUGAUUUACGACCAAAGAACUACAGACUCUUCACAACCUGCUCAAACUCUUGGUACAGGACCUCACCACACGGGUCAAGAAGGUUUCUGUCUCAUUUCUACUCUGAAGCUCACCUUCUCCUGCUCAAACUGCUGACAAAUGUUUCUGCUGCUCUAAAGUCUGGUCUCCAGAACUUCCUAAAAACUCUCAAAGUCUCUUCUGCUGCAGGUUGCUUAGAACUGUUCCAGAAAACCUCACUAAACCACAUGGAGGGGCCUCAAGAUAGUUGUCCAAAUGAAUCUGUACAAAAACCAAACUAGUACAACCCAAACGCUAAAGUCUCCUGCAGCCUACCAGAGAACCUCUGAGAACAGAGAAUCAGGACAGGAACUCUUACCUUCUGGAGAAGAAGAAUAUAGAAUGUAUCUGACCAAAAACCUCUAAAGACUCACUACAGCCAAGAUAAAGACACAACUCAGCUGCACCAAAUCCACUAAUCACUGCACACAUUAGCACCAUGUGCCAACUGUGGCUAAAGAACCACAUUUACCAAGACAACUAUCCAGCACAAAGCCCUAAAACACACCAAGAAACACAUUAAAGACAAUUUUACUGCUGGAAGCUGCAAGCCAACGCCUAAAGAACAAACUAAAGCAAAGAAGCCAAACCUCAGUUGUGAAGAGAAGCAGACGAAAUGUUUGUCUGCAACUAAAAAAAGCAGGAAGACACUGAGCUGCUCAGGUGUUCCUGAUAACACCAAGCUGCUCAGGUGUUCCUGAUAACACCAAGCAGCCACCUGGACAGCCAAUGGGAACACAGCUUACUGGAAGUCCAGAGGGCUGGGUUAGUGAAGGAAAUUUAAUUUAAAGUUGAAGCAGAAAGUUAACAAAGAAAGUUGAAAACCACCUUCUGAUACCUGAAAUCUCUGAGUUUUCACACAAAGAACGCCUGAACAUGUCAAACUGGCUUCAUAGUAGAACCAUCAUUGUAAAAACAUCAUAGUAUGGUGUGUUGCUCAAAAAACAUUAGGACCCGGCUGUCAGGGGACAAACAUGUAAGAAACAUGAGAACAGAGAGAACCCAACCAGUAGGUCACAGUUUAUCAUCCCCCAGUCAUCUCCUGAAGUCCAUAUGAUGAGAGACAUCAGUAUCUGGUUGUUAAUUUACCAGAGGAUGCUUAUAAUCAUGCUGAUGUGGUCUGUACUCUACAGUAUUUUAGUGACUCAAUAAAUGCCUGUUGUUUUUUUUUAAAUGUUUUUUAGUUUUCAAUAAACAUUUAACAGCCUAUAUGUAAUCAAUAAAUGGCCUUUGCCUAUCUUAAGAAAAAUUCACUCAGAACUCUGAUAUGUUAACAGUACUAAAUAAAUCAAUAAAUGCAUUCAUACACACAAAAAUAAGUUAAUACAUUAACUGUGUUAAGAUAAGAUUUAGAUUUUUUAAAAAGUU
ensembl:lncRNA